UGCAUUACUUCAUAAGACCACUCAAGAUAGUUUUAUAUGUAGUUAAGGAGUCUAAUUAGUUAGCAUCAGGAUUAGGACUCCUAGUGAGACUAAUUAGGCUCUUGGGCUUUCAUUAAAAUUUUCAACCUUUAUUUUGAAUACUUGUGCUCUAUAACUGUAAAUUUUCUAUAUACAGGGAGCUUUGGAAGACGAACUAUCCGCAGCAGAGAGCCAGCAAAAACCUUAGACACAGUAUUAAGAUGCUACAUGAUUUUGAUACGUGCAUUACAAAAAAUGAAGAAGCUAUUCAAAUUGAUCCUCGCUUUGCUGAGUGUUAUGGAAACAUGGAAAAUGCUUGGAAGGAGAAGGGCAACAUUGAUGUUGCAAUCUGCUACUAUUUAAUUGUUAUCGAGGUUU